GAUGAAGAACGUAGCAAAAUGCGAUAAGUAAUGUGAAUUGCAGAAUUCAGUGAAUCAUCGAAUCUUUGAACGCACAUUGCGCCCGCCAGUAUUCUGGCGGGCAUGCCUGUUCGAGCGUCAUUUCAACCCUCAAGCACAGCUUGGUGUUGGGACUCGCGUUAAUUCGCGUUCCCCAAAUUGAUUGGCGGUCACGUCGAGCUUCCAUAGCGUAGUAGUAAAACCCUCGUUACUGGUAAUCGUCGCGGCCACGCCGUUAAACCCCAACUUCUGAAUGUUGACCUCCGAUCAGGUAGGAAUACCCGCUGAACUUAAGCAUAUCAAUAAGCGGAGGA
rnacentral:misc_RNA from 1 species